rnacentral:rRNA from 1 species
CCUACGGGGGGCUGCAGUGGGGAAUAUUGGACAAUGGGGGCAACCCUGAUCCAGCCAUGCCGCGUGUGUGAAGAAGGCCCUCGGGUUGUAAAGCACUUUCAGUGAGGAAGAACGCCUGGUGGUUAAUACCCAUCAGGAAAGACAUCACUCACAGAAGAAGCACCGGCUAACUCCGUGCCAGUAGCCGCGGUAAUACGGAGGGUGCGAGCGUUAAUCGGAAUUACUGGGCGUAAAGCGCGCGUAGGUGGCUUGAUAAGCCGGUUGUGAAAGCCCCGGGCUCAACCUGGGAACGGCAUCCGGAACUGUCAAGCUAGAGUGCAGGAGAGGAAGGUAGAAUUCCCGGUGUAGCGGUGAAAUGCGUAGAGAUCGGGAGGAAUACCAGUGGCGAAGGCGGCCUUCUGGACUGACACUGACACUGAGGUGCGAAAGCGUGGGUAGCAAACAGGAUUAGAUACCCGAGUAGUC